ACCUGGGUGGCUCAGUCGGUUGAGCAUCCGACUUUGACUCAGGUCAUGAUCUCCACGGUUUGUGAGUUCGAGCCCCACAUCAGGCU
rnacentral:tRNA from 1 species